rnacentral:rRNA from 1 species
UACGUAGGGUGCAAGCGUUGUCCGGAAUUAUUGGGCGUAAAGAGCUUGUAGGCGGUUUGUCGCGUCUGCUGUGAAAUUUCGGGGCUCAACCCCGAACUUGCAGUGGGUACGGGCAGACUAGAGUGUGGUAGGGGAGACUGGAAUUCCUGGUGUAGCGGUGAAAUGCGCAGAUAUCAGGAGGAACACCGAUGGCGAAGGCAGGUCUCUGGGCCACUACUGACGCUGAGGUGCGAAAGCGUGGGGAGCAAACAGG